CCUCUCGGGGUUUUUUGGGGCUGGACGCAGCCACCGCAGCCCCCCCGGGUGUCACCAGCCCUGUCCCCUUGUCCCCACAGGGUGAAUUCGGCGUUUACCUCGUCUCGGACGGCAGCAGCCGCCCCUACCGCUGCAAGAUCAAGGCGCCCGGCUUCGCCCACCUGGCCGGCCUGGACAGGAUGUCGCAGGGCCACAUGCUGGCAGACGUGGUGGCCAUCAUCGGCACGCAGGACAUCGUGUUCGGGGAGGUGGAUCGGUGAGGGGCUCAGCGCCGUGCCCCCGCUGCGUGUGCUGCUCCCUGCGCUCCCCCCUGCGCCCCCCCCGUGCUGUCCCUUCACCGAUUUGAGUCGAAUAAAGGCUAAAACGGGUCCCGGCUCCGCGCUUCUGUCCCUGCGUCAGCCCUCGGCUGCCGGAACCGGGUGAAACCCCGCUCCUCUGCCCUUUCCCACACAAGGCUCGUGGUCGAGAGCUUCCCCUUCCCUCGAUGUGGGGCCCGCGGGCGCAUCACCCUCUCCGGGAGGAUCCUCCCCGC
rnacentral:lncRNA from 1 species